rnacentral:rRNA from 1 species
UUAUUAACUUUGUUGGGGGAUGAAUGCCUGAGUGAAUAACUCAGGGUGACAGUACUCUCGGAAUAAGCCACGGCUAACUACGUGC